rnacentral:rRNA from 1 species
CCCAAUGGGCGAAACCCUGACGGACCAAUACCGCUUGAGGGACGAAGCUCUGUGGAUUGUAACCUUCUUUUUCUAGGGAAGAUAAUGACGGUACCUAACGAAUAAGCAUCGGCUAACUCCGUGCCAGCAGCCGCGGUAAGACGGAGGAUGCAAGCGUUAUCCGGAAUCAUUGGGCGUAAAGCGUACGUAGGCUGUUAGAUAAGUCUGUUGUCAAAGCUCGAGGCUCAACCUUGUAAAGGCAAUGGAAACUGUUAGACUAGAGAGAGAUAGGGGCAGGGGGAAUUCCAGGUGUAGCGGUGAAAUGCGUAGAUAUUUGGAAGAACACCAAUGGCGAAAGCAUCCUGCUGGAUCUCAACUUUUCUGAAGUACGAAAGCUA